rnacentral:rRNA from 1 species
UUCGGAUUGUAGUCUGCAACCCGACUACAUGAAGCUGGAAUCGCUAGUAAUCGCGGAUCAGAAUGCCGCGGUGAAUACGUUCCCGGGUCUUGUACACACCGCCCGUCACACCAUGGGAGUCGGAAAUGCCCGAAGUCUGUGACCCAACCUGAGAGGGAGGGAGCAGCCGAAGGCAGGUCUGAUGACUGGGGUGAAGUCGUAACAAGGUAAC